rnacentral:rRNA from 1 species
AUACCUACGGGACGCAGCAGUGGGGAAUAUUGCACAAUGGGGGAAACCCUGAUGCAGCAACGCCGCGUGAGUGAAGAAGGUUUUUGGAUUGUAAAGCUCUGUUAGCAGGGAAGAGGAAGGACGGUACCUGCAGAGGAAGCCACGGCUAACUACGUGCCAGCAGCCGCGGUAAUACGUAGGUGGCAAGCGUUGUUCGAAAUAACUGGGCGUAAAGGAUGCGUAGGCGGUUAAACAAGUUAUAUGUUAAAUAUAUAGGCUUAACCUGAUGAAAGCAUAUAAAACUGUUUAAC